rnacentral:lncRNA from 1 species
GGAGGACCUAGUAACUCAUUUCCAAAUCAGUUCAACAAUGCAAGAAACAAAGGAAAGUAAGAGACCAAUAAAAAAUAAGCUGAUAAAUGCUGCGAAUGCGAUCAACUUGGACACUACAUGAGUGAGUGCCCAAUGAAGAAGAAGAAAGAAGAAAAAGUUGAACGAAAACCUAAAUUCAACAACUUUCAAAUCACAUGAAAUGACUGCAACUCAGAUGGUGAUGUUGAAGAGGAAGAAGAAUCUGCU